AACGAACGCUGGCGGCAGGCUUAACACAUGCAAGUCGAACGGUUGUAGCAAUACAGCAGUGGCGCACGGGUGAGUAACGCGUGGAUAUCUGCCUUUUGGUUCGGAAUAACUCCGGGAAACUGGAGCUAAUACCGGAUGGUUCCUACGGGAUAAAGAUUUAUCGCCAAAGGAUGAGUCCGCGUACGAUUAGCUAGUUGGCGGGGUAAUGGCCCACCAAGGCGACGAUCGUUAGCUGGUCUGAGAGGACGAUCAGCCACACUGGGACUGAGACACGGCCCAGACUCCUACGGGAGGCAGCAGUGGGGAAUAUUGGACAAUGGGGGCAACCCUGAUCCAGCCAUGCCGCGUGAGUGAUGAAGGCCUUCGGGUUGUAAAGCUCUUUUGGCGGGGACGAUGAUGACGGUACCCGCAGAAUAAGCCCCGGCUAACUUCGUGCCAGCCGCCGCCGUAAUAC
rnacentral:rRNA from 1 species